rnacentral:tRNA from 1 species
GCUCAGUUGGUUAAGCAUCCAACUCUUGAUCUUAGCUCAGGUCAUGAUCUCAUGGUAUGUGAGUUCGAACCUCACAUUGGGCU